GUCGUAACAAGGUUUUCGUAGGUGCACCUGCGAAAGGAUCAUUA
rnacentral:rRNA from 1 species